rnacentral:ncRNA from 13 species
UUAUGUGGUCUAGAGGUAAUGACGUCUGACUUUGAAUCAGAAGACCGCGAGUUCGAGUCUCGCCAUGA